AUCCAGUUGACGUGUCCCGAAUAGGACGAAACGUGAGUCCUGGAU
rfam:Schistosoma rodhaini strain Burundi genome assembly, scaffold: SROB_scaffold0000185